rnacentral:rRNA from 1 species
UGGGGAAUAUUGGACAAUGGGCGCAAGCCUGAUCCAGCAAUGCCGCGUGUGUGAAGAAGGCCUGCGGGUUGUAAAGCACUUUCAGUGGGGAAGAACAGGCCUGGGCUAAUACCCCAGGUGUCUGACGUUACCCACAGAAGAAGCACCGGCUAACUCCGUGCCAGCAGCCGCGGUAAUACGGAGGGUGCAAGCGUUAAUCGGAAUCACUGGGCGUAAAGCGCACGUAGGCGGCACGUUAAGUCAGAUGUGA